AUGUUUAGUAAAGGUACUAUAGUCACUGAAGCUCUUUCCACACUCCAUGCAUUUAUAAGGUUUUUCACCUGUAUGAAGUCGUCGAUGCACAUUAAGGGAGGCACUCUGAUUGAAGCUCUUUCCACACUCCAUGCAUUUAUAUGGUUUUUCCCCUGUGUGAGUUCUUUGAUGUUUAGUAAGGGUACUACUGUCAAAGAAACUCUUUCCACAUUCCCAGCAUUUAUAAGGUUUCUCCCCUGUAUGAGUUCUUUGAUGCAAAGUAAGGUAGCCACUGUAACUGAAUCUCUUUCCACACUCCAUGCAUUCAUAAGGUUUCUCCCCUGUAUGAGUUCUUUGAUGCACAUUAAGGUAGUCACUCUUUCUGAAGCUCUUUCCACACUCCAUGCAUUCAUAAGGUUUCUCCCCUAUAUGAGUUAUUUGAUGCUCAUUAAGGGAGGAACUCCGACUGAAAGUCUUUCCACACUCCAUGCAUUCAUAAGGUUUAUCCCCUGUAUGAGUUAUCUGAUGCACAUUAAGGUGGCCACUCUUUCUGAAGCUCUUUCCACACUCCAUGCAUUUAUAAGGUUUCUCCCCUGUAUGAGUUAUCUGAUGCACAUUAAGGUAGCCACUCUUUCUGAAGCUCUUUCCACACUCCAUGCAUUCAUAAGGUUUCUCCCCUGUAUGAGUUCUCUGAUGCACAUUAAGGUGGCCACUGUAUCUGAAGCUCUUUCCACACUCCAUGCAUUUAUAUGGUUUUUCCCCUGUAUGAGUUUGUCGAUGCAGAUUAAGGUUGACACUGUUUCUGAAUCUCUUUCCACACUCCAUGCAUUCAUAAGGUUUCUCCCCUGUAUGAGUUCUUUGAUGUUUAGUAAGGUAGCCACUGCAGCUGAAGCUCUUUCCACACUCCAGGCAUUUAUAUGGAUUUAUAUGGUUUUCCUGUGUGUGAAUUAUAUGAUGCCUUUUAACAGACUUGCUGCAACUGAAGCUCUUUCCACACUCCAUGCCUUUAUAAGGUUUCUCCCCUGUAUGAGUUCUUCGAUGCACAUUAAGGUAGCUACUGCUUCUGAAGCUCUUUCCACACUCCAUGCAUUCAUAAGGUUUCUCCCCUGUAUGAGUUCUUUGAUGCAAAGUAAGGGAGAAAUUCUGACUGAAAGUCUUUCCACACUCCAUGCAUUCAUAAGGUUUCUCCCCUGUAUGAGUUCUUUGAUGCACAUUAAGGUAGCCACUGUUUCUGAAGCUCUUUCCACACUCCAUGCAUUCAUAAGGUUUAUCCCCUGUAUGAGUUAUCUGAUGCACAUUAAGGGAGGAACUCCGACUGAAGCUCUUUCCACACUCCAUGCAUUCAUAAGGUUUCUCCCCUGUGUGAGUUCUUUGAUGUUUAGUAAGGGUACUACUGUCAAAGAAACUCUUUCCACAUUCCCAGCAUUUAUAAGGUUUCUCCCCUGUAUGAGUUCUUUGAUGCAAAGUAAGGUAGCCACUGUAACUGAAUCUCUUUCCACACUCCAUGCAUUCAUAAGGUUUUUCACCUGA
rnacentral:lncRNA from 1 species